rnacentral:rRNA from 1 species
AUACGGAGGGUGCGAGCGUUGUUCGGAAUUACUGGGCGUAAAGGGCGCGUAGGCGGCUUCACAAGUCAGGUGUGAAAGUCCACGGCUCAACCGUGGAAGUGCAUUUGAAACUGUAAGGCUUGAGUACUGGAGGGGAGUGUGGAAUUCCUGGUGUAGAGGUGAAAUUCGUAGAGAUCAGGAGGAAUACCGGUGGCGAAGGCGACACUCUGGACAGAUACUGACGCUGAGGCGCGAAAGCGUGGGGAGCAAACAGGAUUAGAAACCCUAGUAGUCC